rnacentral:rRNA from 1 species
UUGAACGCUGGCGGUAUGCUUUACACAUGCAAGUCGAACGGAUUUUGGAGCUUGCUCCAAAGUUAGUGGCGAACGGGUGAGUAAUAUAUCGGAACAUGUCCGGAAGUGGGGGAUAACGUAGCGAAAGUUACGCUAAUACCGCAUAUGCCCUGAGGGGGAAAGGGGGGGAUCGCAAGACCUCUCGCUUUCGGAGUGGCCGAUAUCGGAUUAGCUAGUAGGUGAGGUAAAGGCUCACCUAGGCGACGAUCCGUAGCUGGUCUGAGAGGACGACCAGCCACACUGGAACUGAGACACGGUCCAGACUCCUACGGGAGGCAGCAGUGGGGAAUUUUGGACAAUGGGCGAAAGCCUGAUCCAGCCAUACCGCGUGAGUGAAGAAGGCCUUCGGGUUGUAAAGCUCUUUCAGCCGGAAAGAAAUUGCUUCUAUUAAUACUAGGAGUAGAUGACGGUACCGGAAGAAGAAGCACCGGCUAACUACGUGCCAGCAGCCGCGGUAAUACGUAGGGUGCGAGCGUUAAUCGGAAUUACUGGGCGUAAAGCGUGCGCAGGCGGUUUUUUAAGCCAGAUGUGAAAUCCCCGGGCUUAACCUGGGAACUGCAUUUGGAACUGGAAGACUAGAGUAUAGCAGAGGGAGGUAGAAUUCCACGUGUAGCAGUGAAAUGCGUAGAUAUGUGGAGGAAUACCGAUGGCGAAGGCAGCCUCCUGGGUUAAUACUGACGCUCAUGCACGAAAGCGUGGGGAGCAAACAGGAUUAGAUACCCUGGUAGUCCACGCCCUAAACGAUGUCAACUGGUUGUUGGACGGGCAACUGUUCAGUAACGAAGCUAACGCGUGAAGUGACCCGC